CCGUUUCCUUGAAUAUAGUGAAGAAAAAUUGACUACUAAUUGCAGUAUCUCCAUAUUAAAUUAGAUCCGUAAGCAAAAAUAUUUUGGGCAGGAUUAGAAAAAUUUGUUUAUGUUCUCUUAGAUGACAUUAACUAAAAAAGAAAAAAUUACAAAGAAGGAAAAUGAAGGAUUUGCUAUGUCCGAAGGAUGACAGCACAUUUAUUUUCUCCUCUUAACAAAUAUUGUUGAUAUGCAUAUUCUUGAAAGGUUUAAUAUUGAGUUUAUUUUUUUUCAACUAAUAACUAUGAGCAAUUUAUCUCCACUUUCUACCGCCCUUUUAUUUUGUAAACUUGAUAAAUAAAUCUUAUCAAUCAUCUAGGUUUUUCAUAUUUAAAAAUAAAAUGUCUUACAACCAAUCCAAACAACAUUCCACAUCUAUACCCCAUAACAACAGUUUGCCAGGUGAAUCCAUCUAAGAUAUUGAAGUCAUCAUCUUUCCGACAUUGGAUGCUACGGUUUUGGUUCUUCAUUUCCGCAAAUCAUUAUCGAUUGCAAUUUACAUAAUUUUGGGUUGUCAAUAUAUGAACUGUUAUCAAAUGUAAGAAGCAGUCCUUGCUAAGGUAUGAGACCAAAAAUGAAUAUGUGAAAUGUUAAGAAAUGACAAAAUUGUCAACUUUGUCAGUUGUCAUGGAAUCUCUCAUACCAAAUGAUUUGAAUAGAGAUCUAGUGAUUUAAGUGAAAUUAAAUUUUCUAUUAGUGAGACGUGACCUCUAAAACUAUUAUAAGCUAAAUUUAGAGUAUGGAGGUUUGUGAUCUUUCCUAGAGGACUUAAAUAUUUCCUUGAGAUUUAUUGUUUCAUAGAUCGAUAUUUGUAUAGGCUCUUUGGAUACUCCGCAACUCAUACUUGCACUCUUUCAGCAAAAAAGUCGAACGAUCUCCAAGUACGAUUUCACUUUCACUUAGAUUCAUCAUGACUCUGAAAUUAACUACAAAUUCAAUUGGGAGAACACGACGUACAGUUUCACUUUCACUCACAUUUCAUCAUGGCUUUUAAAUUAUCUAAAAACUGAACCGGGAGAACAACGAACUCAUUAUGUGAUAGGUCAAUAAUUUGCAGCUUAAAAAAUGGAUACUCUACCUUUGAAAUAGGUAUUAUAGCAUGAAAUUUGUUGGAUUUCAACACAAGAAUUCGAAGAUUCGGAAGAGUUCCCAUCGAAGAGGGAAACAAGUCAUUUAUUUCAUUAUUUCCUCCAAUAUCUAGUGCUUCAAGCUUCCUAUAAUUGACCAAUGUUCUUGGUAAAGUUCAUUAAAUAGAUUUUCAUUUAAGUUCAAUAUAAGCAGUUGACAUCUCUUUGUAAAUAUUUUAGAAAUGGAGCCAUGAAAGCAAUUGUACUUUAAAUUCAAAUAAACCAAUUUCUCACCGAGUUUGGAGAUGAUUUUGUGUAACUAGCCCCUCAAUUGAUCAUACUAAGAUCCAAAAAAUAAUUGACUUUAAAUCUCCAAGUGAAAUCAUACCUGUGAGAUGGUUGAAGAAAACAUUCAGGUAGCGAAGAUCUGUUAUAUCCCUGAACGUUGGAGGUAGUACUUUUGAAAAUAGGUUGAUUGAAAGGUCUACUACCUUCAAGUUUUGCAAGCUUCUUAUCUCGUGAGGGAUAUAGCUUGAAAAUCUAUUACCGUUCAGAUAAAGAUAUAUGAGAAUUGUAUAAAAAAAAUAAAUAAAAAAAUAAAAAAAUUUCAAAUGGGAAUUUUCCAGUGAAAAAAUUGUUUCAAAUCUUCAACAUUAUUAAAUUGGUUUGAUUUGUCAUUAAAUAAGGCCAGAUCUUAUUUGAAAGAAUACUAUCAAAUAUGGACAAAGAAGAUAAUUUCUUCAGCUUGGUAAUAAUCUAUUGCAAGGUUUCCUGAAAACGGUUAAACCUAAGAUCAACAAAUUCAAACUUGCCCAGAUUGGUGAAUAAAGGUUUUGGAAUAUUACCAGUUAGGGAUGUCAAAUGGGCUGAGCGGUUCGUGGACGGCUUGAUAAGCCCGAGCCCCAGCCGAGCAAGGGCUUAGGCUUGGCUCGUCGGGCCCAUGAGCCAUUUUGACGAGGCUCGUCAAAAAAUAUGAAACUUUUUAAAAAAAAGUCUAAAAUGUGCAAAUUUACCAAAAGAAAAAGGUUAAAAAAAUUACGAGCUCAUGAGCGGCUCGCGAGCUCGGGUCGUCUUUCACGAGCUCGUGGGUUAAAGCCGACUCAGCCCAUUACCAUCCCUAUUACUAGUAAAAGAGUUAAAUGAUAAAUCAAGAAAAGUUAGGUUUUUAAGACCAUCGAUUUGAUACAAAAUCAACCCACGGAGAUUAUUCCUAUUGAGUUCGACACUUGAGAGGGUUGAAAGUAAAGCAAAAUCGAGUUGACCACGCGUGCCAUCAAGUUUUGCACCAAAGAAGCUUAUUCAAGAAAUGGACCUUUCAAGGUUGCAUACGACCCCUAUCCAGUUACAGAGAUUAUUAACAUUGUCAAUUUUUCGCAAAUCAAGAACAGUAGGAUUUAAGAUGGAAUUCUUCCACCUUAAAAAAAAUCUGCUUGUGUUUUCUUAGAUGAAACAAUACUUUGAAUUGGAAGCAAACUGAAUAUAAAAAUAUGAAGAAGGAAAAACUAGAAUAUUUUUAAUGUUUUCAUGAUUAUUUGUUUUACGUUUCAUUACCUUUUUCCUCUCUUCUUAUAUAAAGGUAAGGAUGUGACAUAUAUGCAGACAAAUCAUGAAAACAAAUUGAAAGAAAUCACAUGGCAGAACUUGUAAUUUUUGAAUUUGAAUGUAUGAUGAUAAACUCAUCAUAUUUAGAAAGGGAGGGAUGGACUUCGCAAGUCACAAAAAAGUUGAAAGAAGUCGCAUGGCAGAACUUGCAAUUUUUGUAAUUGAAUGUAUGAUGAAAAAAUUAUCAUACUUAAAAAGGGAGGGAUAGACACGUGAGUAGAAGUUCACAUUUUAGAUAUUAGCAUUUAAUGUUUUGCAUCUUUUUGAAAAUAAAGUACUAGUCCUCUUUUUGAUUCUUUUUGAAACACUGAUGAAAAAAUAAUGUCAUCACAUUAGAUAUUGCACUAAGGGGACUGUUCAUCUUCCUUCGAAUAUACUGACUCAAUAUCUGCUGCUUCUUCAAUUUUUGUUGUUGCAUAAAUUUGAUGCAGGAUUUUUCCACUCUUUUGAUGUGUACAAUUUUUUUGCAAAAUGGCCACAUAUGAAACAUCUAUAUCUUUUCUUUUUUUGUAAAUUUCUAUUUGAAAAAUCUUUUCCUUUGAGGAAAGGAUUCAGAAAUUUUUUUAUUGUGGAACUUAAACUUUCUUCUAUGGUACUUUUUCUUUCUUGGACGAUCACAGCUGUUGUUGUCAUAACGGCAUUUGAUUUUCAAAUCUGGUUGAUCACAAGCCAUUUCAAGCUUCUGGCCUGUUGUAUUGAUAUCCUUUAAAAACAUUCUUUGGUAAUAGAGUUUUUUCACGGAUCAUUUGACCCAAUUAUGGAGUUCUCCAAAUGAGGUGGUUGACCAUGAUUGUCAUUUUUAGCUCAAUCAUUUUGAGUGUCUCUUGACUAAGAGGAUAUGGUAUGGAUUUCAGGUAAGCUUGCUUUAAGUUGGUAUCGUUCAUUCCACCAAUAAGAUAAUGCCGUCUGGCAUGAAAGUGUUUGUCCAAAUCUUUAGGAUUAUAAGAACAACACUUUAACUUGAAAAAUUCUUUCCUUGUUGCAUGCUUCAAAUGAUCUGUCUUUCCACAAAAUUUUCAGUGAUUUUUAUAAAAGCAUUAAUUGUUGGGGAAUUUGAAUAUUGGAUCUGGUUAUAUUCUCCAAGAGCAUCAUACCAAUCUUUAAGGAAAUUGGUAGUUCUUGCCAUUAAAGAUUUUAUGACCGAGGUAUAAGUGAUAUUUGACAUUUGCAAUUCUGUUGAACAACAUGCUUUCAUUUCUUGGAAUCUUGCAUUCCACAUAAUUGGAGGAAUAUCAUCAAAAGUAAAUUUGGUUGUGGAAGUAUUGCUUUGCGAAUAAUAAUUAUUCACCACGCGUGUCAAAAUUAGCCAUUUCUUCAUCAAUUAUUUCUGGUUCAUCAACAACGGGAUUUCUUUAUUGAGUUUGACUUGCUUGUGGUCUGUCAGCGAUAUAGAAAGGCAUCAUCUUCUAGAGAAUCAUCGAGGACUCUUCAAGUUCAGAACUUGUUUCAUGUGUGAUGGUUAAGACAGGAGAUCUAUAAGAGGAAGAAUUUUAAGCCUUUUGUAGUAAGGUGGUGAUGUGAUUUUUUUAUCGUCAUUUGUCGUCCUUUUUUCGGAUUUGGUGGAGGUAAAGCUUGUGGAUUUUGUGGAGACAAAGUUUGGGGAUUUUGUAAAGGCAAUUGAUUGGUUUUCUUUGCACUAGAAAGAUGAACGAGUUUUAAGUUCUUUUCCCAUUCUUUAGGAAUGAAAAGUGAAGUUGUAGAUCCAAAAGCUCCAAUUGAAUACAUAGGUCUUGAAGUUUGUGAGAGAUGAAAAUAUGCAGUUGGAUGGUAUGGAGUAGAAGGUGGGAUCAUAGAAUUUUUUUCAAGAGAAACAAGUUGGUUUUUAAGAUUUCUUAUUUUUCUUUCUUGGUUUUCUAUGGGCAAAUAGUUUUGUAAAAGAUUUAUGAUUUCAGCGUGGAGGGACUUUAUUUUUUAUUUUUUUUUGUUUACGGGCUUGGAGAGGGGUUAACAUGGUUUAUGCUUCAUGUUGUAGAGUUAUUUCAAUUCUUUGCUGACUUUGGUAAAUUCUUUCCAACAAGAAAUUUUGUUGGAUUGCAUUGUUUGACUGUCCGCUCAAAAAUGCUAUUGUUGCUGAAAGCUAAUCAACUGAACCAUCUAAUUCUUAGAUAUAGGAUUCAUGAUUUUCCAGGCAUGAGAAGACCGCUCUUUGUCAAAAGAGGUUAGUGGAGGAAAAUCUUAUUGUUGAGGUGGAUGGAACAAAGCUAUAAGCAUGACUGUUUGUGGAGAUGGAAGUGGACUAUUAUUUCAGUCUCAUUUAGUAUGCAUUUGGUUGCAAUCCAUCAUCCCGUCCAAUAGGAAUGUUAGGUUCAUCAUCCCAUCUAGUAGGAAUGAUAGGUUCAUCACUUGUAGGGUUAGAGUAUAUUUGACAUAAUAGUCAAAUUUUCCAGAAGACACUCAUAACAAAUCAACUCCUGCAGAUUUGUUUUCAUAUGCUUUACACAAUCUUUGCCGGCUAUUCUUCUUUUUUUUUCUUAAGAGGUUUAUCUUCAAAUAAAGCCUCUUCAUCCUCCAUACAUUUUGCACAGAAACAUACGUCCCAAUAAGUGUGUCUUGAAUCAUCAGAUCUGUAAUAAAUAGGUUUGCCAUUUGCAUCGAAUCCACAAAAUAGGAAUUUCUCCGUUUGUUAAGGCAAACUUUGUAGGGAAAUGGGGAGUCGUUUUUAUUGGGGAUUUCUUUUCAAACAUAUUUUGGACUUCACCAUUUGACUGUCUUCUAAAAUGAUUGUUGAUGGCUAGAAUGGUAAAGAAUUUUUUAAUGCCUGGUGAUGCUACUCAUAACUAGUAAUCCACAUUUGUGGAGUUAUUUUAAUGAGCUCCGAUCUGGGAAUUUGUCUAAGAAUUAUAUGUACAGCUUGACAGGCCUGUUCCCAUUUGGAUGAAUAAAGCAUCAUGUGUACCAUAAGGGAUAGCAAAAUAAAGAUAAUGAUUUUGAUUUCUGUAGGCCAUCUAGUAGUGAAGAGUUGCUCCGUAUGUGACUGCUGUUGGAAUUGCACCAACAAUUUGGACCUAGAUAUUCAAGGCUGAUAAUAGCAAUGAGUCUGCUAUUGGCAUGUUAGAGUUUGGAAACAUAAUAACAAGUACUGUUCCAACAUUGAGGGUAGCUUCCACCGUGCCAAUACAUGCGCGUUGAUAAUCAGCAAAACAUGUAUCUAGUAGGGCAAUUCUAGAAAUCGUAGGAGUCCAUUUCUUCCAUGGAGAGUAAGUGCAAUUCUUACAGCUCCAAAAUGAAUAUGGUUAAAAUCUUUAUAUAACCAUGUUUUUGGAAAAUGGGAUGGUAAAUCUAAAGUGACAAAUUAUUUCUUUUUAGUGGCAGAUAAAAGAUGUUGAUCGAACUUUGUUGUUUGGACAAACUCUUUGAUUUGGGAUUUUGAUGGUGAUAUGAGGCUUAGGACAAUUUUCGUGAAAGAGUGUCGUGAUUUAUUUUGAGCGAGAUAAGGGUUUACAAGGGGUAGAUCUGUGAUUGAACCUUUUUCAGAAUUUGGAAGAUAGGAUUUUUCAUGAAGAAAGUCAAUUUUAGAGGAAAAAGUUUUACAAAGGGAGGUAGAAGGAGAUAAAAUGGAUGAACUAGAAGAUUCAACAGACAAAAUUAACAAGGUGUUCUUCCUAAUUUCUUUCAUAUUGGAUUUUCCCAAUCAGAGAUAGUAAGAUCAAGGUAACAACAUGACUUCGAUACCAAUAGAGUGGGGGUAUGACAACCUAUGCAAUACACGAUAUUCUAGCUCGCAACAAACUAUAUGCAUUUAAUGUGAUGUAAAAUUGUCUUAUAACAUCAUUUAUAUAUUUACUUUUUCAAUUAAAUAUUAAAUUAGUAAAAAGUUCUAAUGUGACGACUUCUUUUUCUCUUCAGUGUUUCAAAAAUAAUAAAAAAUAGGACUGGUACUUUACUUGCAAAAAGAGAUAAAAUAUUAAACGCUAAUAUUUAAGAUGUGGAUUUCCACCUACGAUCCCAUCACUCCCUUUUUAAGUAUGAUGAUUUUUUUAUCGUACAUUCAAUUACAAAAAUUUCAAGUUUGUCAUGUGACUUCUUUUAAUUUUUUUCGUGACUUGCGGAACCCAUCCUUUCUUUUCUAAGUAUGAUGAGUUUCUCAUCAUACAUUCAAAUACAAAAAUUGCAAAUUUUGUUAUGUGAUUUUUUUCAAUUUGUUUUCAUGUAUGUCACAUCCUUACUAAGGAUAAAGGUAAUGAUAUGUAAAACAAAUAAUCAUGAAAACAUUAAAAAAAAAAUUUAUUUGUUUUUCAUAUUCUCGUUUUUAGUUUGUUUCCAAUUUCAAAUAUUGUUUUAUCUAAGAGAACGCAAUCAGAUGCUCUUUUAAGAUGGAAAAACUCUAUUUUAAAUCCUCUGUUUUUGAUUCGUGGAAACUUGACAAUAUUAGCAAUCUCUAUAGUUGAACGGGGAUUGUAUGCAACAUUGAGGGAUUCAUUUCUUAAAUAAGCUUGUUUAGUGCAGAACUUGAAGGCACGCUUGACCAACUCGAUUUUGCUUCACUUUCUACUCUCUUAUGUAUUGGCCUCAGUAGGAAUGAUCUCCGUGAGUAGAUUCUCAUAUCAAAUUGGUGAUCUUGAAAAUCUAACUUCUUUUGAUUUGUCAUUUAACUCAUUUCAAAUCGGACCCAUUAAAUAAUGUUGACGAUUGAAAACAAUUCUUUCACUAAGGAAAUUCCAUUUGAAAUUGGUUUGUCAACAAAUUUCACAUAUCUUUUAUAUAAACGGUGAUAGGAAGUUUGGAAAACUUGAAGGUAGUAGACAUUUCAGUUAAUAUAUUUUUACAAGAAAUACCUCCAACGUUGACGGAUCUAACAGAUCUUCGCGACAUGAAUAUUUCCUUCAACCAUCUCACAUGUAUAAUUUCACUUGGAAAUUUGAAGUCAAUUAUUAUUUUUCUUUUGAUCUUAGUAUGAUCAAUUGAGUGGCCAGUUGCACAAAACCAUCUCCAAGUUCGGUGAAAAAUUGGUUUAUUUGAAUUUGAAGCAGAAUCACUUUCAUGGCUCCAUUCCUAAAAUAUUUACCAAGCGAUAUUAACUGCUUAUAUUGAACUUAAAUGGAAAUCUAUUGAAUAGAACUUUACAAAAAACAUUGGUCAAUUAUAGGAAGUUUGAAGCACUAGAUAUUGGAGGAAACAAUGAAAUAAAUGAUCAAUUCUCCUUUUCGAUGGGAACUCUUCCGAAUCUUUGAAUUUUUAUAUUGAAAUUCAACUGAUUUCAUGCUAUAAUACAUAUUUCAAAGGUAAAAUAUCCAUUUUUUAAGCUGCAAAUUCUUGACCUAUCCUAUAAUGCGUUCGUUAGUGUUCUUUCAGUUGAAUUUUUAGAUAAUUUCAAAGCUAUAAUGAUGUGUGAGUAAAAGUGAAACUGUGCGUCAUGUUUUUCCAGUUGAAAUUCUAGAUAAUUUCAGACCCAUGAUGAAUCUGAGUAAAGGUGAAAUUGUACUUGGAGAUCGUUCGACUUUUUUGCUGAAAGAGUGUGAGUAUGAGUUGUGGAGUAUCCGAAGAGCCUAUACAAGCAUCGAUUUAUGAAACAAUAAAUUUCAAGGAGAUAUUUCAAGUCCUCUAGUUAAGAUUACGAAUCUCCGUACUCUAAAUGUAUCUUAUAAUAGUUGUCACAUCCCCCUAACAGAAAAUUUGACUUUACUUGAAUUACUAGAUCUUCGUUCAAAUCAAUUGGUAGGAGAUAUUCCUUAGCAAUUGACAAAGUUGACACUGAAAGAUGAUGACUUCAAUAUUUUAGAUGGAUUCACCUGGCAAGCUGUUAUCAUGGGAUAUGGAUGUGGAAUGUUGUCUGGAUUGAUUACAGGAUACUUUAUUUUUAAAUGUGAAAAACCUAGGUGGUUGAUAAGAUUUGUUUAUCGAGUUUACAAAACAAUAAGGCUGGUGAAAGUGGAGGUAAAUUGCUUAUAGUUAUUAGUUGAAGAAGAAGUAAGCUCAAUUUUAAGCCUUAAUAGAAUAUGCGUAUCAAUAAUAUUUCUUAGGAGGAGAAAAUAAAUGUAUUAUCAUCAUUCGGAUAUAACAAAUCCUUCAUUUUCCUUCUUCGUAAUCUUUUUCUUUUUGCUUUAAUUGAACAUUGUUAUAUAAGAGAACAUAAGCAAAUUUUUCUAAUUUUGUUUAUAGAUCUAAUUUAACAUGGAGAUGUUGCAAUUAGUAGUCAAUUUUUUUUUUCACCAUAUUCAACGAAACCAAGUUAUCUAAAGGAAAUAUCUCAUCCUUCCGAAACCAUCUUCCUCCUUCCCUUAGUUGAUUCCCACCAAAACUGUAAAAUUAGCAACUUAAUCUCUCGGCAAAACAAAUUCUGGCAGCGUGAGCAAACGGCUCAUACAUGUAGUUGAUUUUAUGGAAGUUCACCGGUUUAUUUAGUAGGAGUCACCUACAAUACCGGUAGAAAUUAGAACAAAUGGAAGGAAUUAGUUGACUGACUUCGCAUCAUAUUACUUGGUAUUGUCCUAAUACUUUUAUUUUGAGCGAACAGCACAAGUUAUAGUGUAUAAGCCUUGGGAGUUAUUGUGCACCGAUUCUUAAGCAGGACUUCAGCAAGGGAUAUGAUGGAAAGGAUGUUGUGCAAAAUCUACACCAAGCUUGCUUUUUAAGAUAGCCAAUAAAAGUGGAAAACUAUGGCUUGAGUGGGAUUAUGUCGCAUAUUUUGCAAUCUGCUAUCCUAUGAAGGAGAACAAAUCCAGUAAAGAUUGUGUAGAUGAAGUAAUCCGUUCACUUUGUAUGUUACAAUGCCACUCUAUCAAUGUUUUAAUCAACCAACAAAAAAUAAAAAAAUAAAAUUAAAGCAUGCAGUAUAAUGUGUGCUUACAAGAAUAUUCAUUUUCAUUUUGUAGAUGAGUUGAUGUGACCAAAAUCCUGUAUACUAUAAUGGAUACCAACAUUAACUAUACUGCAUCAUUUUGUUAUCACUAAGUGUCGUGAUUUGUCACUGUUAUAUUUUAAUUAUUUAAUUUUUUUCUCUUUUGAGAAUGAGAAAUCACAUCCAUUGUUCUUAUGUUGUUAGUUAACUACAAGGCUUAGGGAUUUAACAGUUAUGGCUGCUUAGAGUAAGCUAGCUGGUUGUUUACUGCUGUAGUAAUGGUUUUUUCCUAUUCGUAUUGCUUGUAGUUCUUGAAAUUAUGUUGAUUGAUGUGUAUUUAUCACCCUUAAAUUUUAAUUUCAUCUGAAUGCCUGCUGUAUCUUAUAAUGAGUUGUCUCCGUGUGAAACUGGUGACAUGGAUUAACCUUGGAUUUCGAUUAUAUUUCAUACAUUAUCGAUCAUCUAAAUGCUUGUAACCUGCUAGCCUGAAGUUGCAAUUGAAGGUGAGGUGGGGGAAGGUAUGAAAAUGAGGCUCUCAUCUCUCUAUUUUUAGAUGAUGAAAAUAUUACGAAAUCUGUUAUAUCUUUGCAGAAUAUGGUAUCGCUAGAUAAAUAGAAGAUGUCAUAAUCUUCUAGAAUGUCAAAAAUAGAUGGCAUGGUUAAUAGACUUCACAUGAUGGUCUUUAAGCACCAAUGUUCCCAUCAAAUCUGCUCAAGAUUAUUGACAUGCUAAAAAAUCAUUACCCUGAAAGACUAGCCAUGGAAUUUUUUACAAACCCCCAUGUAUAUUUGAAGCAUUUUGGAAGGUUUUCCAUUUUCCUUUUAUAAUCAUUGAUUUUAUUUUCUGAUCUUUAGGUAAUGAGAGAGUAGACUUUGCAUUAUGGGUUUCUUUUUUGUUGGAUUACAUGGGAUAACUGAAGCAUUCUUUUACAACGGUUAGAAUCAUCUUUUUAGUCGUGGUUUACUUCGUGAGGAAGGGAAUAUGUUGGAUUAGAACUUAGGACUAUACUACAUUAAAUUAAUUUUGUAUGUGCAGAUCUCAGUUAGGAAAUUUUACGUUUUUAUACUACAAUUUAUUCAUUUUCAUUAGGUAAAGAAUUGACCUUUCCUCCAUACUAAUUUAGAAAUGCUCUUUUAUUGCAGGUUGUAAAAUACUUUUUGAAUGCAAAAUCAUUCUAGAAUGUAAAUUUCUCUACCCAAAAAACAAAGAAAAUCAUGAGAUCCUAUUUUGAUGUAGACAAUCUUCCAGCUGAGUUCAGAGGUAAAGUCGUACUGGCUUUACUACAACCACGUGGAUAAAGCUUGAGAACAGUGUAAAAACAGUAGGUAUUGUAUUACUCCUGUUAUAGAUCUAUACGCAUAUUAGAGUUAAUGUUUAUCCAUCACUUCAAAUGCACUUUAUGAUAUGCAUUAUCUUUCAGUUACUUUGGCUGUACUUGGUGAGAAGACCGCAGUUAUGUCACCUAAAAUACUUGUUAAUGCCGUUGUUCCAUGCUGCAAACAGCAAUUUAAUAUGAUAGAAGCCCACAAAAUGACCAAUGAAGAAGUCUCAAAGCAUUGCAUUGGUGGGGUACCGCAUCACCUGUACCUACUAUGGUUAUUGAAGCUUUUAGAGAAAGCAUUGAUGCUCACAUGACUUUUGAUGGUAAUUAUGGGAAACUCACGAUGAAAAUGAAAGCAUUUUUGCCCACCUGAAACAAAUCAAUCAAUAAAUGGAAAGGAAAACACAACUAACAACUAGUUUUGCAGCUAUUUGAGGUAAAUUUCACGUCUUUAGUCAAGUUUAACUUUUAAGACCUCAUUUUUUUUCUUUUGCUGUGAAAUGUACAACAGUCCACAACUAACUGUUUGAAUUUCUUGAGAAUAUCAUUGAACGAGUUGCUACUUAUAUGAGAGACCAAGAAAGAUGAUCAAGGGGAAGCAUCAGAAUAGAUUGGUUGUUUCCAUAUGUAGAAAUGUAGGUUCAGCUUGAUUUUAUUAACUUAGUUUUAGUCAGGAUAAAGCAAACCUUGAUUUGAUAAUAUAUGCAUGUGUCAUCGUUUUUAUUUUUCAUUAUAUGAUGUGUGCAUAAAUUGAAUUUUAAGCAUAUCUUUCUAUGCAUGUUCAGUAUUAAUCAACAAAACUAAGCAAGAGGUAAGAUUUCUUUUCUCAAAUGACUUUCUAUAUUGUGGUUAUCUACUCUGGCUACUGUGGAGGUUUUAAUUGUUCGUAAGUAUUUCAACUUAUUUCUAAAAUGGAUGUGAUUCUUGAUUCAUUUAUGUGUUUUUUUUUUUUAAAUUCUGAUUUAGGCCUCCAUUAAUGUGAUAUAUUCAGUUGGGGGCUUUUCCCCCAAAUUCGAGAAGUAAUAAGAAAUUGAAAAAUGAAUGGUUUUUGAUUGAACAGAAUAUGAAUUGUUAGAUUUUGAAUGUUUAGCUAUUCUAUUUUGGAUUACUGCUACCAAGAGUAAGCACAAUUCUAUUUAAAUAACUAAUAUGAAGGGAGGCUCAUUUUAAAGGGGAAUAUUUCCUUUGUUUCUUUGGUAUUCAUUAUCGAAGCUAACAAAGAAAUUUUAGUUUCUUCUUCCAUUGCAGUGGAUAGUUCAUUAGGAGCAAUGAUCAGAGCUCUAACCAGGCAAGAGAUCGGAAAUGGGCUUGUUAAGAGGGGCUGUUUUUGGCGCUAUCUAUGGUGUUAUUUACUUAAUCAAAGUCUUCGAGUUUUCACCGCUUUUAUAUGAAUAUGGCAUUGGGUGUAUCUUGUAUUUGGCGUGAUGAAAAAUGUUGAUGCUUCUUUGGAGAGUUUUUUGUUCA